GGUUGCAAAUUUGAAGUAGAGUAGAUUAGUAUGGUCAGCUGAUACUACCAAUCUUCUCUAUUUCAAAUUUGGGCCC
rfam:Haemonchus contortus, ISE/inbred ISE, WGS project CAVP01000000 data, contig: Hcontortus_26254